AAAUGCGAUAAGUAGUGUGUAUUGCAGAAUUCAGUGAAUCAUCGAAUCUUUGAACGCACAUUGCGCCCCUUGGUAUUCCAUGGGGCAUGCCUGUUCGAGCGUCAUUUGUACCUUCAAGCUUUGCUUGGUGUUGGGUGUUUGUCUCGCCUCUGCGUGUAGACUCGCCUCAAAACAAUUGGCAGCCGGCGUAUUGAUUUCGGAGCGCAGUACAUCUCGCGCUUUGCACUCAUAACGACGACGUCCAAAAGUACAUUUUUACACUCUUGACCUCGGAUCAGGUAGGGAUACCCGCUGAACUUAAGC
rnacentral:misc_RNA from 1 species